rnacentral:pre_miRNA from 1 species
CUGUGAAUUACAUGGGGAUUUUCCUUGGGAUUAGUAUGAAAAUUUGCAGGAAAAUAAGUUUCCUGCGGAUUUUCAUACUAAUCCCAAGGAAAAUUCCCAUGUAAUUCACAC